rnacentral:pre_miRNA from 1 species
AUUGCGGCGGUCUCUGAUUCGCUUGGUGCAGGUCGGGACUUUCACGGCGCCGCCGCCGCUCGACGGCCGGCUCAGCUCGAAAGCCGCCGGAGGAGUGUGUGCAUGCUGUGUCUGUCUUGUACGAAUCCGUAUGGGAUAGAUGCGUUUGCGCGUCGUCCUCGGCGAGUUUAGGUCCUGCCCUGUAUCAAUUGAAUCGGAGACCGCGGUAUAU